rnacentral:sRNA from 1 species
AGUUCCCGGGUCCCUCGGCCACCGAAGCCGCCCUGCCCUGAUGAAAGGGCUCCCGCACCGCCCGGUGCUCACCAUCUGCCUGGCGUUGUGCGCAGAGCUGGAAAGCAGCUGUUAUAAAUGAAUUCUGAUUUUGGGGAGCAGAUGCCAACUUAGAGCCUCGUACCAAUCUCUCUGUCUUUAAAAGGUGAGGUGACUUAGUGAUUUUCCUGGAAAAUUAUAGGUGCCCAGCUAAGACCUGAAUGCCAUCACCCUCCCCAGGGCUCUGCAGUUUUCUCGUGGUGAACCCUUGAUGGAUUUGUUGUUGCUUGAGAAAUGGCGAUGAUCGAAUUGGAGUUUGGAAGACAGAAUUUUCAUCCAUUAAAGAAGAAGAGUCCAUUACUGUUGAAACUCAUAGCUGUUGUCUUUGCUGUGCUUUUAUUUUGUGAAUUUUUAAUCUAUUACUUAGCGAUCUUUCAGUGUAAUUGGCCUGAAGUGAAAACCACAGCCUCUGAUGGUGAACAGGCCACACGUGAGCCUGUGCUCAAAGCCAUGUUUUUGGCUGACACCCAUUUGCUUGGGGAAGUCCUAGGCCACUGGCUGGACAAAUUAAGAAGGGAAUGGCAGAUGGAGAGAGCCUUCCAGACAGCUCUGUGGUUGCUGCAGCCGGAAGUUGUCUUCAUCCUGGGGGAUAUCUUUGAUGAAGGGAAGUGGAGCACCCCUGAGGCCUGGGUGAAUGAUGUGGAGCGAUUUCAGAAAAUGUUCAGACACCCAAGUCAUGUACAGCUGAAGGUAGUUGCUGGAAACCAUGACAUUGGCUUCCAUUAUGAGAUGAACACAUACAAAGUAGAACGCUUUGAGAAAGUGUUCAGCUCUGAAAGACUGUUUUCUUGGAAAGGCAUUAACUUCGUGAUGGUCAACAGCGUGGCGCUGAACGGGGACGGCUGUGGCAUCUGCUCUGAAACAGAAGCAGAGCUCAUUGAAGUCUCUCACAGACUGAACUGCUCCCGAGAGCAGGCACGUGGCUCCAGCCGGUGUGGACCCGGGCCUCUGCUGCCCAUGUCUGCCCCCGUCCUCCUGCAGCAUUAUCCUCUGUAUCGGAGAAGUGAUGCUAACUGUUCUGGGGAAGACGCUGCUCCUCCAGAGGAAAGGGACAUCCCAUUUAAGGAGAACUAUGACGUGCUUUCACGGGAGGCAUCACAAAAGGUUUGCCAGGGUGUCGUGAUGCUAACUCAUGUCACAGUGUGACUCUCAUCCCCUUGCACGUCAACAAGCAGAGCGCCCAGGCUAGAGCAGAUGUUUGCUGAAACGUUGAUGACUUAGUUAUCACCUGGGGACAGGGGUGGAGGCCUGGGCUUUCACAGUUUCUCAGAUUUUCAUUUAAUCGCUUUCUUUUUUUUUUUUCCCAGUAAACCUACUUCUGUUUCCUACCCUCAAGUCAAUAAUAGUCUCAGCUAUUCUUUGUAUUCAGAGUUUUUCACCAACUUAAAUGUAUUUAGAAAUGUGAAUGGAACUGAAGAGUCAAAUUUUUAGGGACUUAAUUAAAAUUAAAAUGCAUUUUCUUAUAUAGAUUUAUAUAAUACAUAUUACAUUAU